GUUUAAAGAGUCAUCAGUUCAGAGACUGUGACAGUCGAGAUCGAGAACGAGAAAGAAGUGAGACAGAGAAGCACGAUGGAUGAAUUCAGAUGGAUUCAAAUGUUUUCAUGUCUGAUGCUGAUGAUUCGGAUUGCAGCCUUCUCAACAGUAUCUCUAAAUGAAACAUCCAUUUUUAUGAAAGUUGGAGAUGACGUCACUCUGCCUUGUCUAAAUCUGAUAGAUCAGCAGAAUAACUGUGAUGGUACUACGUGGACGUUUGCUUCAAGAAACAAACCAACAACAAUAGAGCUGAUCACACUUGGACAGAUUGGUGAACAUGCCAAAACUAAAUCAGACAGACUGAGUGUUACAGCGAACUGUUCUGUGCUUAUAAAGAAGCUCAAAGUUGAGGAUGUUGGUUUUUAUUCCUGUCAACAAUACAAAGUCAAAGAAACACCAUCUAAACACACUCGGGUUCGUCAGUCUUUCGUUGAUCUCUCUGUUAUUACCUUGACUGAACAUAAGAACAUUGAUAAGGGGAUACUAAACUGCUCUGUGCUGACACAUGGAGAGUGUCAUCACACAGUGAUGUGGCAAAUUAAAGGUAAAGAUGUGGACAAAGAGGACAACGAAAUAGUGACUUCACAGACUGUUUGCUCCACCACAGUGUCCAUUCCAGAGUCUCACUUUCUUUAUUCAUCAAGAUAUAACAUAUUGGCAUGUGAAGUGACUGACAGUAAAAUAGGAAAAGUGCAGCUGUUUACCUUCACUUCUCAGCCAUCAGGUGAAGAAACAGGUGACACAAAAUCAACAAAGACACCAUCCAGAAAAACUGAAAGCAACACAAAUUCAGAAACAAAUACAACAAUAAUGAAGGAUGAUUCACAAGAUUUUUCUGUAUCUUUGAGGUCCAUUAUUAUCUCUGUGGGGUUAGCAGCAACUUUAAUAACUGCUGUGACAGUCAACAUAUGGACAAGGACUAAAGGGAACACGACCAAGAUGGAUAAAACAAUACAUUAUGAUCAAGAUGAAGACGAUGUUACAAUUCAUUAUGAAAACAUCGGGGUUUCUGCUGCUUCAGUCAGAUUCAACUGAUCAACUUCAACUCAGCAGAGGAAAUGGCUUUUAUAUUACCAGUAUCAUCUCAUCCAGUUUUAUAGAUUAAAUCGUAUAAAACAGAUAACGAUGUAAGUCGUUCCCAUUAAGUUCAUUCUGCUCAUCUGCGUGUUUUGUUUUCAGUGGGAGAAAUGUUUCGUCAUUCAUCCAAGUGACUUCUUUAGUCUUCUUCAAUCACUCGGAUAUUUGACGAAACACGUUCCCCCUGAAACCGCUAUGAUCUGAUUGAGCAUGCAUCAAGACCAUAUACAUAGUUGUUUUGUGUUUCAGUAUUCUGACUAUGGAUUUAUAUUUAGGUCUUGAACUUGUAUGAGUUUUAUCACAUCCUGUUCAUCCUGUUCAGACCUUCACUCACAUCUUUGGUUGAAUAGACUUAGAUAGAAGAAGAGGAGUUGAGGAUGUACAAACCGAGGAAUAGGUAGCCAAUAAACCACUUCCCAAUCAACUCUCUUCUAUGUAUAGAAGAGAGUUCUAGUUCCACUCUAAACGUAUCUACCCAUUUGACCUACUUGACC
ensembl:lncRNA